rnacentral:rRNA from 1 species
GCUUAACACAUGCAAGUCGAGGGGCAGCAUGAACUUAGCUUGCUAAGUUUGAUGGCGACCGGCGCACGGGUGAGUAACACGUAUCCAACCUGGCCGUUACUCGGGAAUAGCCUUCCGAAAGGAAGAUUAAUGCUCGAUGGUAUAUAUUUAUCGCAUGAUUUAUAUAUUAAAGAUUUAUCGGUAGCGGAUGGGGAUGCGUUCCAUUAGAUAGUUGGCGGGGUAACGGCCCACCAAGUCUUCGAUGGAUAGGGGUUCUGAGAGGAAGGUCCCCCACACUGGAACUGAGACACGGUCCAGACUCCUACGGGAGGCAGCAGUGAGGAAUAUUGGUCAAUGGACGCAAGUCUGAACCAGCCAAGUAGCGUGAAGGAUGACUGCCCUAUGGGUUGUAAACUUCUUUUAUACGGGAAUAAAAGACAUUACGUGUAGUGUUUUGCAUGUACCGUUAUGAAUAAGCAUCGGCUAAUUCCGUGCCAGCAGCCGCGGUAAUACGGAGGAUGCGAGCGUUAUCCGGAUUUAUUGGGUUUAAAGGGAGCGUAGGUGGUCUGUUAAGCCAGCUGUGAAAUACUGUAGCUCAACUACAGCCGUGCAGUUGGAACUGGCAGACUUGUGUGCACUAGAGGAAGGUGGAAUUCGUGGUGUAGCGGUGAAAUGUUUAGAUAUCACGAA